UUGUUGCGGUUAAAACGUUCGUAGUUGAACUUGUGUCCCACACGGGUAAUUGGCCCACUUACGGGUUCUUAUUACUUGCCGGCUUGCUGGCUUUAGUGUGCGGACGUUUUACCGGUGAGGGAAACGGUGUAGUUUCGGCUGCAAUACGCCCCUUAUUUAUUUCAUAAACCCGUCUUGGUGCUUUUAAUCGAGUGCCAAUGUGGGCCGGUACUAUUACUUUGAACAAAUUAGAGUGCUUAAAGCAGGCUAAAUUUAAUGAAAGUUAAAACGCCUGAAUAUAUUUUGCAUGGAAUAAUGGAAUAGGACCUCUGUUCUACUUUCAUUGGUUUUUAGACCAAGAGGUAAUGAUUAAUAGAAGCAGUUGGGGGCAUUAGUAUUACGAGGCGAGAGGUGAAAUUCGUAGACCCUCGUAAGACUAACUUAAGCGAAAGCAUUUGCCAAGGAUGUUUUCAUUAAUCAAGAACGAAAGUUAGAGGAUCGAAGGCGAUCAGAUACCGCCCUAGUUCUAACCAUAAACGAUGCCAGCUAGCAAUUGUAUGUAGCUACUAAUUUUGGUUCAUACAGUCGCUUUCCGGGAAACCAAAGCUUUUGGGCUCCGGGGGAAGUAUGGUUGCAAAGCUGAAACUUAAAGG
rnacentral:rRNA from 1 species